GCACUGCUGAGGAGUUCCACAAUAGGACGAAACGGCCGUCCAAUGC
rfam:Schistosoma mansoni strain Puerto Rico chromosome W, complete genome